rnacentral:rRNA from 1 species
GACAGAGGGUGCAAACGGUUUGUUCGGAAUUACUGGGCGUAAAGCGCGUGUAGGCUGUUUUGCAAGUCGGAUGUGAAAGCCCUGGGCUCAACCUAGGAAGUGCACUCGAAACUGCAGAACUGGAGUCCUGGAGAGGAAGGCGGAAUUCUCGGUGUAGAGGUGAAAUUCGUAGAUAUCGGAGAGGAACACCGGUGGCGAAGGCGGCCUUCUGGACAGUGACUGAC